AGAGGGCAAAGUGGCCACAGACUUGUUCAAGGUGAAGUCAGCCAUUUGUUGGAAUGCCUUGUGGAUCAGUCAUGUUGAGGGAAUCGACUAAUGCUGAUUACACUCGCUUGUUGCAGAGGUACUAGGAGAGAGAGGUAGCUGCUGCCCUCCUUUGCCAGGAGCACCGGGGACUUGGAAGCUCCGUAACUGCACUUCCAUUGACUGUGGACUUGAAUGCCUGCUUUUCCUGCAAUAGAGCUAAAUUGGCUAAGCUGGUCUUCGAAAGUCAGAUCAUGUCUUUUGUUCUCUAACUAUAACAAAAAAGACAAUAUAGCUUUUUUAAGGGACUGAUUUGUAAUAACUAUAAAGACAAAUCAAGACCAGUUAGUCAUUGACUUACAUCUUAUCUC